UCUUUACACUUAAUACCUUUGGCAAUAGACCGAUGUCAACCAUCAAGAUAGAAGGUGAUUUGGCUUGAUUUGUAUCUACAAGAGACCGAUGCCAAUCAUCAAAAUACAUCACGCAUAAGGAUGAUCAUAAAAUCAUCAACAACAGACCAAAAUGCUUAAUUUCAUUACUUAAAGCCCCUCGUGCCACCACAGGCUUGAGGAGAAUAAAAAAAAAAAAAUUAAGCACAUUGAAAAUAAAAUAAAAUAAAAUAAUACAUCUUUCGUUUUAGGAUUGCUGUGCCCCAGGCUCUACAUGCUCCUCCGCGUCAUUCUCUGCCCUCGGCCUCCGUCCAUGGGCCUUCUCUCCUCUAUGGACUUGGGUCCCGUCCUUGUCAAGCCAGGACGUCGCAGAGGUGGGCUGGGCCCUGCCGGUGGCGGGUUCUUUAGGUAUGGAUGGUACGAGACGAGCCCAUUGGGACCGUCGCCGGACCCUCUUCGGCGGGCUCCAGACGUGCCGGCACCCGGAUAUCGAUGGCAUUGGGUUGUCUAGGCUUCUAGGGCACCGGCUUUUGAUCCUCGUGGGAUGCUUUCCAGCAGUAGCUUUCUUUUAUUGGCGAUUUCUCGGAUGACGCAUUUAGUUUGGAAGGUUCGAGAUGGUCACGCG
rnacentral:lncRNA from 1 species